GUUAAUGUGGCAGAGCUUGGCAUUGCAGAAGGCCUAAGCCCUUCUCACAGAGGUUCAAGUCCUCUUAUUAACU